CAGUUUUCUUCAAACAGAUUAAUCACGAAAACCGAGGUUCCACUGUACGUGCAAGCAGAACACUUUACGACGCAAAAAAGAUGCCUGCUUGUCUGUAAUAACAAACGAGAUUUUUGAUUACAUUAAAGACACAAAGCACCUUCAGCCAAGCUACUCGGUACGACAAUGCUAGCAUGCUGAUGUUUGUGCCGGAAAAUAUUUCGUCGUGCUAUGCAUGACAAAGAUUCUUGACUCUUUAGCAGGUACUGCCUUCGUUAAAGAUUUAACAUGUUGUCUGACAAGUAUAAAUGGGCCAGGACGUGGCGACUCUCAGCUACCGUGGCAAAGUCAGCACAGCUCAGGUCUGUGUUCUAUUCACUACACCCCCCAUCUGCUUCGCACACACUGGCCAUUUUCAACAUUACAGGUGUGCGACAGUCCCUCGAGGGCCAGGCCCCGGCUCCUGCAGCUCCAGCUCCAGGUAGUUGAGCUGCUUCUUAGACGUGGGACUAACAGG